rnacentral:rRNA from 1 species
AGUGAACGCUGGCGGUAGGCCUAACACAUGCAAGUCGAACGGCAGCACAGAGGAGCUUGCUCCUUGGGUGGCGAGUGGCGGACGGGUGAGGAAUACAUCGGAAUCUACUCUGUCGUGGGGGAUAACGUAGGGAAACUUACGCUAAUACCGCAUACGACCUACGGGUGAAAGCAGGGGACCUUCGGGCCUUGCGCGAUUGAAUGAGCCGAUGUCGGAUUAGCUAGUUGGCGGGGUAAAGGCCCACCAAGGCGACGAUCCGUAGCUGAUCUGAGAGGAUGAUCAGCCACACUGGAACUGGGACACGGUCCAGACUCCUCCGGGAGGCAGCAGUGGGGAAUAUUGGACAAUGGGCGCAAGCCUGAUCCAGCCAUACCGCGUGGGUGAAGAAGGCCUUCGGGUUGUAAAGCCCUUUUGUUGGGAAAGAAAUCCAGCUGGCUAAUACCCGGUUGGGAUGACGGUACCCAAAGAAUAAGCACCGGCUAACUUCGUGCCAGCCGCCGCCGUAA